CCCAGACUCCUACGGGAGGCAGCAGUGGGGGAUAUUGGACAAUGGGGGGAACCCUGAUCCAGCGACGCCGCGUGAGUGAAGAAGUAUCUCGGUAUGUAAAGCUCUCUCAGCAGGGAAGAAAGAAAUGACGGUACCUGAGUAAGAAGCCCCGGCUAACUACGUGCCAGCAGCCGCGGUAAUACGUAGGGGGCAAGCGUUAUCCGGAAUUACUGGGUGUAAAGGGAGCGUAGACGGUGAAGUAAGUCUGGAGUGAAAUGCCGGGGCUUAACCCCGGAACUGCUUUGGAAACUGUGCAGCUAGAGUGCAGGAGAGGUAAGUGGAAUUCCUAGUGUAGCGGUGAAAUGCGUAGAUAUUAGGAGGAACACCAGUGGCGAAGGCGGCUUACUGGACUGUAACUGACGUUGAGGCUCGAAAGCGUGGGGAGCAAACAGGAUUAGAUACCCCCGUAUU
rnacentral:rRNA from 1 species